UCAACAUAGUUUAAUUUAAAACACUGGGCUGUGGUCCCAGAAACAAAAA
rnacentral:tRNA from 1 species